UGGCUUAGUGGUUAAGAGCACUUGACUGCUCUUCCAGAGGUCCUGGGUUCAAUUCCCAG
rnacentral:tRNA from 1 species